UACAGAGGUCUCAAGCGUUGUUCGGAUUCAUUGGGCGUAAAGGGUGCGUAGGCGGGUUGGUAAGUCAGUGGUGAAAUCUUCAAGCUUAACUUGGAAACUGCCGUUGAUACUAUCAAUCUUGAAUAUUGUGGAGGUAAGCGGAAUAUGUCAUGUAGCGGUGAAAUGCUUAGAUAUGACAUAGAACACCGAUAGCGAAGGCAGCUUGCUACACAAUAAUUGACGCUGAGGCACGAAAGCGUGGGGAUCAAACAGG
rnacentral:rRNA from 1 species